GAUGAACGCUGGCGGCGUGCCUAAUACAUGCAAGUCGAGCGAACGGACGAGAAGCUUGCUUCUCUGAUGUUAGCGGCGGACGGGUGAGUAACACGUGGAUAACCUACCUAUAAGACUGGGAUAACUUCGGGAAACCGGAGCUAAUACCGGAUAAUAUUUUGAACCGCAUGGUUCAAAAGUGAAAGACGGUCUUGCUGUCACUUAUAGAUGGAUCCGCGCUGCAUUAGCUAGUUGGUAAGGUAACGGCUUACCAAGGCAACGAUGCAUAGCCAACCUGAGAGGGUGAUCAGCCACACUGGAACUGAGACACGGUCCAGACUCCUACGGGAGGCAGCAGUAGGGAAUCUUCCGCAAUGGGCGAAAGCCUGACGGAGCAACGCCGCGUGAGUGAUGAAGGUCUUCGGAUCGUAAAACUCUGUUAUUAGGGAAGAACAUAUGUGUAAGUAACUGUGCACAUCUUGACGGUACCUAAUCAGAAAGCCACGGCUAACUACGUG
rnacentral:rRNA from 1 species